rnacentral:rRNA from 1 species
UACGGGGGGAGCAAGCGUUGUUCGGAUUUACUGGGCGUAAAGGGCGCGUAGGCGGUCGUGACAAGUCACUCGUGAAAUCUCCGGGCUUAACUCGGAACGGUCAAGUGAUACUGUCGGACUAGAGUACAGAAGGGGCAACUGGAAUUCUCGGUGUAGCGGUGAAAUGCGUAGAUAUCGAGAGGAACACCUGCGGCGAAGGCGGGUUGCUGGGCUGAUACUGACGCUGAGGCGCGAAAGCGUGGGGAGCAAACAGG